rnacentral:lncRNA from 1 species
GCCUUAAAGUAUGAUCGACGUCUUUCUUUAACUUAGAAAAUUUUUCUGGUUACCGUUAGAACUUGAGCUAAUCACUUUCUCUUUGGUUUUGCAAUGAUGAGGCCGAUCCUUAAGUCCAUCAAGUUGGCUUUGAAAAGAAAGUCGAGCUCCUCAGGUGGAGAGUCCUCAUCAAAAAAGCUGAAGAAAUUUCAAUUGAGGACUCCCACCCCUGC